rnacentral:rRNA from 1 species
AUGCAAGUCGAGCGGAGAAUGCGGAUAUGUUUACAUAGAAGCGUUCUUAGCGGCGGACGGGUGAGUAACACGUGGGUAACCUGCCUCAAAGUGGGGGAUAGCCUUCCGAAAGGAAGAUUAAUACCGCAUAAGCCUACAGUAUCGCAUGGUACAGCAGGAAAAGGAGCAAUCCGCUUUGAGAUGGACCCGCGGCGCAUUAGCUAGUUGGUGAGGUAACGGCUCACCAAGGCGACGAUGCGUAGCCGACCUGAGAAGGUGAUCGGCCACAUUGGAACUGAGACACGGUCCAGACUCCUACGGGAGGCAGCAGUGGGGAAUAUUGCACAAUGGGCGAAAGCCUGAUGCAGCAACGCCGCGUGAGUGAUGAAGGCCUUCGGGUCGUAAAGCUCUUUGAUCAGGGAUGAUAAUGACAGUACCUGAAAAACAAGCCACGGCUAACUACGUGCCAGCAGCCGCGGUAAUACGUAGGUGGCGAGCGUUGUCCGGAAUUACUGGGCGUAAAGGAUGCGUAGGUGGAUAUUUAAGUGGGAUGUGAAAUCCCCGGGCUCAACCCGGGAACUGCAUUCCAAACUGGGUAUCUAGAGUGCAGGAGAGGAAAGCGGAAUUCCUAGUGUAGGAGUGAAAUCCGUAGAUAUUAGGAGGAACACCGGUGGCGAAGGCGGCUACCUGGACCGAUAUUGACGCUGAGACGCGAAAGCGUGG